rnacentral:rRNA from 1 species
UACGUAGGGUGCAAGCGUUAAUCGGAAUUACUGGGCGUAAAGCGUGCGCAGGCGGUUUUGUAAGUCAGAUGUGAAAUCCCCGGGCUUAACCUGGGAACUGCGUUUGAAACUACAAGGCUAGAGUGUGGCAGAGGGGGGUGGAAUUCCACGUGUAGCAGUGAAAUGCGUAGAGAUGUGGUGGAACACCGAUGGCGAAGGCAGCCGCCUGGGUUAACACUGACGCUCAGGCACGAAAGCGUGGGGAGCAAACAGG